rnacentral:rRNA from 1 species
UGGGAAGAUAAGAAUAAGGCAUGCAUGCCCAACUUAGACUCAGUCAGAAAGCUAUUUCUUGAUGAAUCUGCGAGCGGCUCCGUAUACCUGUUAUCACCUUUCAUCCCCCACCGUUUUUAUCAACGGAUACCUGACGUUAAUUCUGUAGCUAAUACGUCAGGUAUGCGGGGGGGUCUCCCAAUGUGGAGACCUUCGGCCUCCUCAAGCCAGCGAGCGCUUUCCUCCCCAUGUUGGGAGGAAGGUGGCCACUGGAAUGAGAGGAGAGGGCCUCACUGCGGGUAAUUCCCUUGCAGGGAGAUUGGAGAAUUUCAGACCUAUCAACUAGAGGGUGUGGGUAGAUGCCCGCCCUGGUGAUAACGGGUACAGAGGAUCAGGGUUCGAAU